rnacentral:lncRNA from 1 species
UCAACAUGGACCCCCUCAGACUGGCUGUUUACUGGGGUUGCCUACAUUGUCCCUUCACUGAUGUUUGAUUUUCUCCUUAGUUAAAGGAACGCCUUAUGGUUUCCAUGAAUGAGGGUUGGAAAUUGGUUUGUUAAAGAGCUGAGUUUCUCUCCAGUGGAGUGUGUUUCAUGAUCCACCAUGUGGUUAAAUAUUAAGGAAUUCAUCUUACAGCAAGAAAACAAAAUGCACACUGAGAGUUCAUGCUGAAUGUUCUUUGACAGAAAUGAUAAGGUUUUUCCUAGUAUGUUUUAUAACAACUCUUUUUUUUAACCUGAUAAAUUAUAUAUCUACAAAUUGAAAUAAAAGCAGUUCCUGACACUU